rnacentral:misc_RNA from 1 species
AGUUCGAUCUAGCUCAGAUUGAACGCUGGCGGGAUGCUUUACACAUGCAAGUCGAACGGCAGCACGGACUUCGGUCUGGUGGCGAGUGGCAGAGCGGGUGAGUAAUGUAUCGGAACGUGCCUAGUAGCGGGGGAUAACUACGCGGCGUAGCUAAUGCCGCAUACGCCCUUCGAGGAAAGCGGGGGACCUUCGGGCCUCGCGCUAUUAGAGCAGCCGAUAUCCGGAUUAGCUAGUUGGUGGGGGUAACGGCUCGCAAGGCGACGAUCCGUAGCUGGUUUGAGAGGACGACCAGCCACACUGGGACUGAGACACGGCCCAGACUCCUACGGGGAGGCAGCAGUGGGGAAUUUUGGACAAUGGGGGAAACCCUGAUCCAGCCAUCCCGCGUGCGAUGAAGGCCUUCGGGUUGUAAAGCACUUUUGGCAGAAGAAACGGCACGGGAUAAUACCCCGUGCAACUGACAGUACCUGCAGAAUAAGCACCGGCUAACUACGUGCCAGCAGCCGCGGUAAUACGUAGGGUGCAAGCGUUAAUCGGAAUUACUGGGCGUAAAGC